rnacentral:rRNA from 1 species
ACGGAAGGCAGCAGUGGGGAAUAUUGCACAAUGGGGGAAACCCUGAUGCAGCGACGCCGCGUGAAGGAAGAAGUAUCUCGGUAUGUAAACUUCUAUCAGCAGGGAAGAUAAUGACGGUACCUGACUAAGAAGCCCCGGCUAACUACGUGCCAGCAGCCGCGGUAAUACGUAUGGAGCAAGCGUUAUCCGGAUUUACAGGGUGUAAAGGGAGCGUAGACGGAACAGCAAGUCUGAUGUGAAAGGCAGGGGCUCAACUCCUGGACUGCAUUGGAAACUGCUGAUCUUGAGUGCCGGAGAGGUAAGCGGAAUUCCUAGUGUAGCGGUGAAAUGCGUAGAUAUUAGGAGGAACACCAGUGGCGAAGGCGGCUUACUGGACGGUAACUGACGUUGAGGCUCGAAAGCGUGGGGAGCAAACAGGAUUAGAUACCCUGGUA